AGCAUAUCAAUAAGCGGAGGAAAAGAAACCAACAGGGAUUGCCUCAGUAACGGCGAGUGAAGCGGCAACAGCUCAAAUUUGAAAUCUGGCCCUAGGCCCGAGUUGUAAUUUGCAGAGGAUGCUUUUGGUGCGGUGCCUUCCAAGUUCCCUAGAACGGGACGCCAGAGAGGGUGAGAGCCCCGUACAGUUGGACACCAAGCCUUUGUAAAGCUCCUUCGACGAGUCGAGUAGUUUGGGAAUGCUGCUCAAAAUGGGAGGUAUAUUUCUUCUAAAGCUAAAUACCGGCCAGAGACCGAUAGCGCACAAGUAGAGUGAUCGAAAGAUGAAAAGCACUUUGAAAAGAGGGUUAAACAGCACGUGAAAUUGUUAAAAGGGAAGCGCUUGUGACCAGACUUGCGUCCGGUGAAUCACCCAGCUCUCGCGGCUGGGGCACUUCGCCGGCUCAGGCCAGCAUCAGCUCGCUGUCGGGGACAAAAGCUUCAGGAACGUAGCUCUCUUCGGGGAGUGUUAUAGCCUGUUGCAUAAUACCCUUCGGCGGGCUGAGGUACGCGCUCCGCAA
rnacentral:rRNA from 1 species